CGUCUUCUGCAUUGGCAGGGCCUCUGCUGCAAGUGCCUGAAGAACCCGCAACCGGAGGUGUGAGCUGAGCCUUAAACUUGGGGGCCUCGCUGAGAACAGCCUGGGAGGCUGCUCUGAAAGGACAGCACGGGAGAAACAAACGGAGCAGCCCGCCCGGCACCUCCCAUGAGGUUC